rnacentral:misc_RNA from 1 species
AAAAAAUUAUAGCAAGUACAAUGAAAAAAUAAGGGCUUUAUAGCUAUAUUCAUCACAAGAGCUCAAACAUUUGUCAAUCUACCUCAACAACGAAACAUAUAUGCAUAUAGCCAGAUGAAUUAUGCAGAUAGAUGAUUAGAUAACAUCAAUGAAGUAAUUAUGCAGUAAAAAGUCAAACAAAAUAAUCCACUUCUGCUUCAAUCAAAUAUGUUCAGGACUAUAUCUGGCUAUAUGUAUAUAUAGACAUUUCCUCAGUUGCUAUAUACAGUUACAAUGAUCUGAUAAUAUCUUACCAUAAAACGUUUAACAGAUGUGGCAUUUGGCUUGCACUUGUGAGAAGAAUUUUGGUUGCAUUGAUAAUUCCCCUGAUGUUCCGCUCAUUGAUUAGAUUGCAAUUGUAGUUAAUCCCUUCUACAGCAGGGUUUUACUGUGCAGCACUUGUUGAUUUCCAUUGAGAAAUGAAUUAUCUGGUCCUUAAUGUGCCUCCAAGAGAAACCAGUUCCUAAUCUAGAUGACCACGCUGUAUAUAGUGCUUCUGCAGCUAGAUUUGAGAAACCAUUAUUGCUUAGGUCCAAUAACUGCAACUGCUUUGUUAUGCUGAUGGCUGUUGAAAGUUCUUGAAUGAAUUGGCACUCUGAAGAUGAAUACUUUUUACAAGAACUUGUACAGCUAUCAUCAAAUUCUCUACCAGCUUCUACCCUGACCAGAUUAUCUUCGCUAUCAGCAACUUCAAGUUGAUUACAGUCGGUGUUUACAGCACGUAAACCCGGCUGGUCAGUGCCAGCUUCUUUAGAUACACACAACUUUGAAGAUGGUUCGGAAAUACUGAGGUUUGGCCGUAGGAUAUCUGCACUUCCUUUAGAUGCUGAGUCAUACUGUAACAUAUAAUGCUCCUCCAAGUUGGUAUUAUCAGCUAGAUGGAGCUCCUCUAGUUGAUCAUUCUCUGACAGUGCUUUAAUCACUUGAAGAACUCCAGCGAGCCCUAGCUGACAUUUGUUUAGGACCAGAACUUUGAGGCAACAUCGUGGAUUCAUAAGCAAGGAUGCUAUUGCACUACUACCCUCUUGCAGAAUAGAAUUCCCUUCAAGGUUCAGCUCAUGAAUGCCAGAAAUCAGAGUAUCAUCAAUUUUAAGUUUAUGAAUAUACGUGCUCAUUAGUCCACAAUAUGAAAGGUCAAGUUUCACAGACUCUUGAGAACUGUUGAACAUUGAUUCAGUCAAUUGAAUUGCCCCAUCAGUUCCUAUGCCAGUGCUUCCAAGCAUUAGUCGUGACAAGCUUGACGUUUUAGCAAGUUGGCCAAGGCUAUCAAUGACAGCCCUGCUUAUCUUUAAUCCAUUCAGAUUCAGCUCUGCAAAACAUUUCAAAGUAGCAAGUUUGUUCAAUAGAUUAAUGAUAGCAUUUCCAGAUAGAGGGUUAUUAUAUCCUAUGGACAGUUGUGACAAAAUGGAGCCUGAAUUUAGUGCAUCAGUAACUUUUUGAAUUGUCCUUGAUGUGAUAGAACAUCGCUCUAUAUUCAAGCUAUAAAGAGCUCUACAGUUUUCCAAUAUGGUUGCAAGGUAAGAGCCACAUGCAUCAGUGAGACGAUUUCCAGAGAUAUUAAGCACUUCUAGUCGAGCAAAGAGCACAGGGCAUUCACAAAUCUGAAACAAAGCUGUUGGACCAAAUCGAUUGCAAUGCAAGUCCAAAGUCAAAUCACCAUAUUUUUGUCCUGAUGUGAAGAACUGUUGAAGUUUCUCCAUUGUUCCAUUUCCUGGAAGACAAUAUCCAAUAGACAGCUGAUAUUGGCAAGGAUAAACAAAACUCAGGACUGCCAUUUCUUUUAAAAACUAGCACGCAAUGCAUUUUGUAUUCAGAAAACUUCGUAUAAAAUUAGAGAUCCAAAAUCAGAUGACACCACCUAAUAAAUUGUGAGAAAGGUCUAGCAUGGCAACUGUUUUGUGCAUAUUCAAGGCAUUCAGCAAUGGAGUUAUUGAUAUAUCUUGCAAUUCGCAUUCAGAUGCAAUGAUUUCAUCCUCAACCUCUGAAAUGUAUAGUUUUUUGAGCAAUUUCAUAUUAGGUGCCUCAGAUAACUCCUCGCAAUAGUCAAUGUACAGUUUCAUCAAGCGCUUUGGAACCCAUCCAUUAACAGUAACUUCUAUCACAAUAUUUCGUAGGUCAUUCUCAAGGGUUUUAAAUGCUUCCAAGGAUUCUAGAACUUUUCCAGCGCAUGUCAUUUGUUGAAUGAUGGGCAGGAGACCCUUUGAUCUCCUCUCUGUAGGGAGCUGCAAAUAAUAUGAACAAGCCAGCUCAACCUUUAAAGACUCGAUGCUCAAUUCAUCAACUGCCAAAUAUGAGCCUCCAGCAUUUAUCAGGACACUGUCAAUUCUGAACAUAAUGCAUUGCUUUUCAGUACUUGGAGAUUUAUAUGAACAAGUGCUUUCUUCAAUAUUAACAGGAUUAGAGGAACUGAUAGCACAUUCAGAUGCAACUUUCAACAGAUCCUGAGAUUUGCUCGUAGAAUUAGCCAGAUUGUUUUCCUUCUUAAAUCCAUCAGAAGCAGUAACAUCCUCCACUGGGUGUUUAUGGAACCCUCUCUCACAGCUGUCUUCAUCAUCUGAAAGGAUUACUCGACGUUUACGACCAAUAAUGGUCUGUUGACUACUAGUUGUUUUAGACAGGCAUUUUGGAGAAUCCUCAGUUGGCUUAUCAUAAGUAUUGCAGUUAUCAGCUAUAAGUUUUGAUUGUGUAGAACUGGAUUUGCUAGUCUGCUGUGAAUGAGAUGCAUUAUCUCUGAUAUCUGACAAAUGAUCAUCCCCAUCUGUAUCAGUCUCAGAGCAGCAAUCCCUUACCAAAUUUUGUCUUUCCAGCUCCCUUCUUUUAGACUGCUUCAAAUUGUCAAUUUCAAUCUGGAGCCUCCUGGACUCUUCAACAUUAUUAAAUCUUAUCAUGUGGCUAUAGUGCAUAUUCUCUAGCGCUGAAAGCUGAACAGAUGGAAGGUUAGCUUCGACAGCAAUCCUAUAACUCUCUUCAAAUGCAUUUAGCGCUCCCAUCCAAUCACCACUGCAGUCCAAAAUGUCACCAAUGCUAAUUUUUGCUAAUGCUUCACCCUCCAAGUUGACAAUUGAGUUGUAUGUUUCCCAACUCUUUGUGACUGAUUUAAUGGCUUUAUUGAAGUUUCUGAGCUUCUGGUAUGACUCCCCAAGAACCAGAUAUGCAUCACCCAACUUUUCUUUGUCACAAAGUUGUUUUGCUAUCCUCUUCUUCAAUUUUGCAUAUUUACAAUGCUCCUCCCAUGCAAAGAUCAUGCUUGACUUCUCAAUAAGACGAUCAAGCAAUUCAUUCUGCUGCAGCAAAAACUUCCGCUCAUGUGGUCUGCCUAUUGCAUUCACUGUAUUCCUCGUUAACUUCUUAAGAUUUUGGUCUUCUUUCUUCAAUUCAUCCAUUACCUUGUUAGCUUCUUUUACAGUUGCAAUAUUUUGAUGAAUUUGUUUAACCAAAGCAGUCUCAUCUUCCAUGGAUUUUGCUAAAACAAGUGCCCUCCGAUAGCAACGAAUUGCUUCCUCAUACUUUUGAAUCCUAUAAUGCAAUUCACCAAGAUUGAUGUAUCCUUUUGCCUCCCCUUGACAAUGCCUAAUUCUCUUACAAAUUAGGAUAUCCUUCUCAAUGUGCUCCCGAGCAUUGCCCCACUCCCUCAGCUCCAUGUAAACAUUUCCAAGAUUGUGAUGGAGCCUACUCCGGGCAUCAUCGUCUUCAUUGACCUCUUCCUCAUCACAGAUUCCUAGUCCUUUGGUUAGGAUUUCCCUGGCUUCUCCCAGAUUAUCAAGAUCAAUUUCAAGCAUUCCGAUAUUGUUAUGUGCAUCUAUGUAUUCUUUAAGGAAAGAGGAUUUAUUAGUUGGAGGAUUCUCCUUAAGUGUUUGAGCAAGCUUCAUGGCUGACUUGAAAUACUUUUUUGCAUUUUUAACUGAAUCAUGGUCAUUAUCGCGUUUUAAAAAUUGCUCAUGGUACGUGCGACCCAGUUGGGUGCUAGCUCUUUGUUGUUCAAUUACGUCGUUGGCAUUCUUAGCAAGCUCCAAGUGCAUUUUCUGAUAAUGCAAAGCAUCGUCAAGCCGAUGGAGGCGCAGAUGGAUCUCCCCAAGAGACUGGCAAGUAGGCAACAAAUGCUUCUCAGGUAAGUAUUUGACAGAGAUAUCAAAAUCAAGACGCAACCACUUGAGUGCCUCCACAUACUCUCCUCUGUUCUUCAGUAUGUCCCCUAUCAAGUUCGCCCACCGAGCUUCCUCCUGCCGAUUCCCCACUUCCUGUGCACUUCUGUACGCUCGCCUCGCCGCACUUAAUUGCCCGUCGUCUUUAGCCAUCGCAGUCUACAAUCUGCAAAACGAAAAUUUAUCAAGGAUUUGGUGAUUUAGGGUUUCUA